GACGUAGGGCGCGAGGCGUUGUCCGGAUUUAUUGGGCGUAAAGAGCUCGUAGGCGGCUUGUUGCGUCAGCUGUGAAAAACCCGCAGCUCAACUGUGGGCUUGCAGCUGAUACGGGCAGGCUUGAGUUCGGUAGGGGAGACUGGAAUUCCUGGUGUAGCGGUGAAAUGCGCAGAUAUCAGGAGGAACACCGGUGGUGUAGACGGCUCUCUGGACCGCCAACUGGACGC
rnacentral:rRNA from 1 species